UAACCUGCCCAAGAGAUCGGGAUAACACCUGGAAACAGAUGCUAAUACCGGAUAACAACAGAUGAUGCCUAUCAACUGUUUAAAAGAUGGUUCUGCUAUCACUCUUGGAUGGACCUGCGGUGCAUUAGCUAGUUGGUAGGGUAACGGCCUACCAAGACGAUGAUGCAUAGCCGAGUUGAGAGACUGAUCGGCCACAUUGGGACUGAGACACGGCCCAAACUCCUACGGGAGGCAGCAGAC
rnacentral:rRNA from 1 species